GCCUUUGUAGUUUAGUGGUUAUAAUUUUUCACUUGUAAAGAAAUUUACACGAUGAAAGGGUCCUGUGUUCGACUCACAGCGGAGGCACAA